AGGAAUAUUGGUCAAUGGACGCAAGUCUGAACCAGCCAUGCCGCGUGCAGGAUGACGGCUCUAUGAGUUGUAAACUGCUUUUGUACGAGGGUAAACGCAGAUACGUGUAUCUGUCUGAAAGUAUCGUACGAAUAAGGAUCGGCUAACUCCGUGCCAGCAGCCGCGGUAAUACGGAGGAUUCAAGCGUUAUCCGGAUUUAUUGGGUUUAAAGGGUGCGUAGGCGGUUUGAUAAGUUAGAGGUGAAAUUUCGGGGCUCAACCCUGAACGUGCCUCUAAUACUGUUGAGCUAGAGAGUAGUUGCGGUAGGCGGAAUGUAUGGUGUAGCGGUGAAAUGCUUAGAGAUCAUACAGAACACCGAUUGCGAAGGCAGCUUACCAAACUAUAUCUGACGUUGAGGCACGAAAGCGUGGGGAGCAAACAGGAUUAGAUACCCUGGUAGUCCACGCAGUAAACGAUGAUAACUCGUUGUCGGCGAUACACAGUCGGUGACUAAGCGAAAGCGAUAAGUUAUCCACCUGGGGAGUACGUUCGCAAGAAUGAAACUCAAAGGAAUUGACGGGGGCCCGCACAAGCGGAGGAACAUGUGGUUUAAUUCGAUGAUACGCGAGGAACCUUACCCGGGCUUGAAAGUUAGCGACGAUUCUUGAAAGAGGAUUUCCCUUCGGGGCGCGAAACUAGGUGCUGCAUGGUUGUCGUCAGCUCGUGCCGUGAGGUGUCGGGUUAAGUCCCAUAACGAGCGCAACCCCUACCGUUAGUUGCCAUCAGGUGAAGCUGGGCACUCUGGCGGGACUGCCGGUGUAAGCCGAGAGGAAGGUGGGGAUGACGUCAAAUCAGCACGGCCCUUACGUCCGGGGCUACACACGUGUUACAAUGGUAGGUACAGAGGGCAGCUACCCAGCGAUGGGAUGCGAAUCUCGAAAGCCUAUCUCAGUUCGGAUUGGAGGCUGAAACCCGCCUCCAUGAAGUGGGAUUCGCUAGUAAUCGCGCAUCAGCCAGGGCGCGGUGAAUACGUUCCCG
rnacentral:rRNA from 1 species